UCGUCGCUCCUUUUGUGAAGCCGAGUCUUCGCUCUCGUCCUCCUUGUGCUCCGCUCUGUUGCGCGUCGCCGUGGUCGAGAAGCCGACGUCGAUGGAGGGCUCCGGCGCCAUUCUUCGUCUGAGGACGUAAUCGACCAGGAGUUCCACAGAUUCAAGCAGAUACAAGGAUGAUAUCGAUUAGAGUUUUUGAGCUCAAUGCUUUGAUCCAUUUGGCUGCUACUGCCAGGAUCCCUAUGGGAUAUUGCAAAGGAAUUAAAUCCCUACAGACAAACCAAGUUGAAUGGAGAGAAGAAUCUGAUAAGAGAUUGAUUAUGGAGUUAUUUGGAGGAUUAUGCCCAGUAUGAUGUUUAUGCACUUCAAGAUUCAUCAGUAAGUAUUGACCUCUAAAUUAUGUGAGCACGCUUUUUACUCUAGUCUACAAAUUUCUGAAAUUUGCAUACUGUUCUUGCAAUUAUUUUUACUAUUAUGUUUGUACAUUAUAUCUUGAAUCAUAUGAUGUAUUAGUCUGUAUGC